rnacentral:lncRNA from 1 species
ACCGUCUAACAAACUCUCUUAACGGCCUAACAAAUUCUGAAACGGCCUCUUCAAUCCCUCUAUAAAUAGAGAGUCAGGGAUCCUCCAUCGAUAAGUCUAAAUUCUCAAAAACUAAGAGAAAACUCUACUAGUAGAAAAUUAAGCCAGGCUCUCGGCUCCUACGUAGUUCUCCUCCAGUUCCAUCCAACUUCUCUUGUUCUUCCACUCUUUUUCAUUCCUGUUCUCAAGACUCGAACUGACUUAAGCAUCGGAGGGUCA